rnacentral:rRNA from 1 species
GAUGAACGCUGGCGGCGUGCCUAAUACAUGCAAGUCGAGCGAACAGACGAGGAGCUUGCUCCUCUGACGUUGGCGGCGGACGGGUGAGUAACACGUGGAUAACCUACUUAUAAGACUGGGAUAACUUCGGGAAACCGGAGCUAAUACUGGAUAAUAUAUUGAACCGCAUGGUUCAAUAGUGAAUGACGGCUUUGCUGUCUCUUAUAGCUGGAUCCGCGCCGGAUUAGCUAGUUGGUAAGGUAACGGCUUACCAAGGCAACGAUGCGUAGCCGAGCUGAGAGGGUGAUCGGCCACACUGGAACUGAGACACGGUCCAGACUCCUACGGGAGGCAGCAGUAGGGAAUCUUCCGCAAUGGGCGAAAGCUUGACGCAGCAACGCCGCGUGAGUGAUGAAGGUCUUCGGAUCGUAAAGCUCUGUUAUUAGGGAAGAACAACUGUGUAAUUAACUAUGCACGUCUUGACGGUACCUAAUCAGAAAGCCACGGCUAACUACGUG